CAUCCAGACUCCUACGGGAGGCAGCAGUGGGGAAUAUUGGGCAAUGGGCGCAAGCCUGACCCAGCAACGCCGCGUGAAGGAAGAAGGCUUUCGGGUUGUAAACUUCUUUUGUCAGGGACGAAGCAAGUGACGGUACCUGACGAAUAAGCCACGGCUAACUACGUGCCAGCAGCCGCGGUAAUACGUAGGUGGCAAGCGUUAUCCGGAUUUAUUGGGUGUAAAGGGCGUGUAGGCGGGAAUGCAAGUCAGAUGUGAAAACUAUGGGCUCAACCCAUAGCCUGCAUUUGAAACUGUGUUUCUUGAGUGCUGGAGAGGCAAUCGGAAUUCCGUGUGUAGCGGUGAAAUGCGUAGAUAUACGGAGGAACACCAGUGGCGAAGGCGGAUUGCUGGACAGUAACUGACGCUGAGGCGCGAAAGCGUGGGGAGCAAACAGGAUUAGAUACCCCAGUAA
rnacentral:rRNA from 1 species